AGUGAACGCUGGCGGUAGGCCUAACACAUGCAAGUCGAACGGCAGCACAGGAGAGCUUGCUCUCUGGGUGGCGAGUGGCGGACGGGUGAGGAAUACAUCGGAAUCUACUUUUUCGUGAGGGAUAACGUAGGGAAACUUACGCUAAUACCGCAUACGACCUACGGGUGAAAGCAGGGGACCUUCGGGCCUUGCGCGAUUGAAUUAGCCGAUGUCGGAUUAGCUAGUUGGCGGGGUAAAGGCCCACCAAGGCGACGAUCCGUAGCUGGUCUGAGAGGAUGAUCAGCCACACUGGAACUGAGACACGGUCCAGACUCCUACGGGAGGCAGCAGUGGGGAAUAUUGGACAAUGGGCGCAAGCCUGAUCCAGCCAUACCGCGUGGGUGAAGAAGGCCUCCGGGUUGUAAAGCCCUUUUGUUGGGAAAGAAAUCCAGCUGGCUAAUACCCGGUUGGGAUGACGGUACCCAAAGAAUAAGCACCGGCUAACUUCGUGCCAGCAGCCGCCGUAA
rnacentral:rRNA from 1 species